CUGCACUUUUUCUUCAUUUUUCAAUUUUCCAAAGGAAUAAAAGCACUGAAAACCACUGCCUCAAAGAAUUUAAUAAGAAUGUUUCAAAUAGAAAGUGACCUUAAAUCAGGUAGAGUUGCCAGCAAUUAAUAAUAAAAUUUAGAAUUCUGGUCCCCUCUUAUAUUUCAUGUAUAUGUAACAUGCUCCAGGGGGCUCGGUAACACCAGCCUAGGAUCCUGAAUGUCCUCAAAAGGGUUCUAACAGAUUGAAGGCUCUGCUUACAUGUUAUUUAUUAGAAAAUCCUGGCCACUUAAGUCUUUUACAGACAUCAAAUAAAUAGCUUCAUUAAUAAAGACACUCCUUGAGAUGAACAACAUUUCCUCCUCACUCCAAGAAGAUUCUACCUUAAAGAGAUCAUUUCUUCUGGUCUUCUGUCAACGAUGGACAAAUCUAUUAGUAAUCACUGACUGUAAAGUAUCCACAGGACUGCUCCCAGGAAACUAUCAAGACUAAGCAAGAAGAUCGUGGACCAAAGGUCCCUGUCUUAAUGCCUAAAGUUAAAAAGAAAAGAAUUUUCUGCUGCUAACGUAUGAAGACAAGAUGUACAGCAAGACAUAUAUGCCUUUAAAGCAUUUUACAAGAACCAAGAAAACGUGGAACUUUUAAAACCUUCACUGAACUGGAAGAAAAGCACACAAGUGAGUUUACUGGUAACAAUCAUGUUGCUAAAUUUCUAGCUCAAGCAACAACUCUAAAAAUAUGUCACUACUAUGGCAUAAUCUAAUUUUGAAGGUGCAAUAAAGUACU